rnacentral:tRNA from 2 species
GCGGUUGUGGCCGAGUGGUGAGGCCCCUGGUCGCCAGCCAGGUGAACGCGGGUUCGAACCCCGCCGACCGCU